CGGGACGUAGCCUAAAAGUGAGGCGCCUGCCUUGGGAGCAGGAGCAAGCAGGAGCGUUACCUGUCGUCCCGA
rnacentral:tRNA from 2 species